UACGUAGGGCGCAAGCGUUGUCCGGAAUUAUUGGGCGUAAAGAGCUCGUAGGUGGCUUGUCACGUCGGGUGUGAAAGCUUGGGGCUUAACUCCAGGUCUGCAUUCGAUACGGGCUGGCUAGAGGUAGGUAGGGGAGAACGGAAUUCCUGGUGUAGCGGUGAAAUGCGCAGAUAUCAGGAGGAACACCGGUGGCGAAGGCGGAUCUCUGGGCCUUACCUGACGCUCAGGUGCGAAAGCUAGGGGAGCGAACAGG
rnacentral:rRNA from 1 species